rnacentral:ncRNA from 1 species
AUAUACGCUGUGAACGGGAGUAGUAAAAGACUAUGGUGUUCAGAGAGCUGCGGCAAGGUGCGACGCAGUCACCAGAAGCUUUGAAGCUCGCCCGGGAGCGGAGCAGCUGAAACAACAAGUAGGCUGUUACGGUUUGUCCCCGUUAACGGACCUUCCCGCAGGAUGAGGAUGAACCUCAGCGUCCUGCCGGGAAGAGGAGCUGGAUGCAUUCAGCGAGCGGAUAAUAUUAUACUGUUCGACUGUGCAUCAACAAGAGUGGUACCGCGGAGGGGAAACCCGCCGUCUCUUAU